UACGAAGGGUGCUAGCGUUGCUCGGAAUUACUGGGCGUAAAGGGCGCGUAGGCGGAUAUCUAAGUUGGGGGUGAAAUCCCGGGGCUCAACCUCGGAAUUGCCUUCAAAACUGGAUAUCUUGAGUUCGGGAGAGGUGAGUGGAACUCCGAGUGUAGAGGUGAAAUUCGUAGAUAUUCGCAAGAACACCAGUGGCGAAGGCGGCUCACUGGCCCGGUACUGACGCUGAGGUGCGAAAGCGUGGGGAGCAAACAGG
rnacentral:rRNA from 1 species